AUAGCGCUCUUAGUUUGUAAAUACCACAAACUGAGAUGUGUGAAGUAAUAUAUAUUGCUGUGUGUAGUCUUUGCCUGUCAGCCCAUGAUAGGCUUUUUUUUUG
rnacentral:misc_RNA from 1 species